rnacentral:rRNA from 1 species
GACGAACGCUGGCGGCGUGCUUAACACAUGCAAGUCGAACGAAGUGGCGAACGGGUGCGUAACGCGUAAUCAACCUGCCCUUCAGAGGGGGACAACGGUUGGAAACGACUGCUAAUACCGCAUACUGAAGGAGGGGAUGGCGUCUGAUUAGCUAGGUGGGGGGGUAACGGCCCACAAAGGCGAUGAUCAGUAGCCGGUCUGAGGGGAUGGACGGCCACAUUGGGAAUGAGAAAAGGCCCAGAAUCCUACGGGAGGCAGCAGGGGGGAAUCUUCCGCAAUGGACGAAAGUCUGACGGAGCAACGCCGCGGGAGUGAUGACGGCCUUCGGGUUGUAAAGCUCUGUUAAUCGGGGCGCGGUACCGGAAUAGAAAGCCACGGCUAACUACGUGCCAGCCGCCGCGGUAAUAC